AGGACAAACGCUGGCGGCGUACCUAAGACAUGCAAGUCGAACGGGCGCUUCACCUUCGGGUGGGUGUGCUAGUGGCGGACGGGUGAGUAACGCGUAGGAACCUGUCAUCAAGAGGGGGAUAACGCUGGGAAACCGGCGCUAAUACCGCAUGUGGUCAUGAAAAUGAAGAAAGCAGCAAUGCGCUUGAUGAGGGGCCUGCGUCCGAUUAGCUUGUUGGUGGGGUAAAGGCCUACCAAGGCAUCGAUCGGUAGCUGGUCUGAGAGGAUGGUCAGCCACACUGGGACUGAGACACGGCCCAGACUCCUACGGGAGGCAGCAGUUAGGAAAUUUUCCCAAUGGGCGCAAGCCUGAGGGAGUAACGCCGCGUGGAGGAUGACGGCUUUCGGGUUGUAAACUCCUUUUCUGUGGGAAGAGUAGAAGACGGUACCGCAGGAAUAAGCCUCGGCUAACUACGUGCCAGCAGCCGC
rnacentral:rRNA from 1 species